CUGAAGUGGCAUCGACAGGCGAUGGCGGCGAGGACAACACGUGGCAGCCCCUGAAGCACGAACACGACUGCACCUCGGGUCUGCCGUCUCCCAAGAUAUGGGUGAGUUCUCGUGAUGCCCACCCUAAACCCUCACGUCCUACAAAUUCCUCAACCUCUACCAUCUCGAUUUCGUCCAUGCUCUGAUCCAAAUGACGAUGCAGCUCCGGCCGAUUGACAAUGGAGGUUUGCCAUCCUUCCUCUCAGCACCCACUCCUGGAGGAACGACACGCCAUGCCGAUCAAACCCGGUCGAGAUCACUCACCAAGAUUGCUAUUCGGAAGUUUUUUGUCAAAAAGUGAAGAGUGGGACGGGAUCUGCACUUUUGUUAAUAUAACAUAUACUUGUGCAGGUGCAGGUUUUGUUCUAAAAAUCCAAUUUGUUUAUCCUUUUGUCGCUGAAAUUGUUUACUAAUUAUGUCAUUGGUUUUAUUUCUUCUAGAUGUUGUAUAUUCUUGGAUUGAAGGGACUGUCUGACAAGGUGAAAGAGCUAAUAGUUGUAGUUUUACACCAAUGCAAAUUUGUUUUGCUUCAGUGUUAAACAUGACCUGCGAGGGACACUUGCAUUGCUGC
rnacentral:lncRNA from 1 species